UACGUAGGGGGCAAGCGUUGUCCGGAUUUAUUGGGCGUAAAAGGCUUGUAGGUGGCCACGCCAAGUCGGAUGUGAAAUCUCCCGGCUCAACUGGGAGGGGUCAUUCGAUACUGGUGGGCUCGAGGCCGGUAGGGGGAAGCGGAAUUCCCGGUGUAGUGGUGGAAUGCGUAGAGAUGUGGAGGAACACCAAUGGCGAAGGCGGCUUUCUGGUCUGUAACUGACGCUGAGGCGCGAAAGCGUGGGGAGCAAACAGG
rnacentral:rRNA from 1 species